rnacentral:lncRNA from 1 species
UGAGAUUGUAUUUGAGUAGUAUAAUUUGUAUUAAACUAUUUAAGAUAAUGUCUUAUGCUAGGGAUGUCAGAAUACUGAUGUUACAUCUCCUAGCUGUGCAAUAUGUACAUUUCUAAAACUGAAUUCUGGAUAUACAUUAUAUUAUACAAUGUCAUAAAUAUGAACAAUAAUUCUGAGGAAUCUUUAAAUUUCAGAUAUUUAAUAGUAGAACUAAAUUGAGCAUGUAUCAUUUUGUGAUUCAGUUUUGAAAACAUUUGCUUUAACCAAACAAUCUUGAAUUUUAUGUGCUGCUAUUUUUGUGAUUAAAAUUUGCCAUUUUGCAGUAGCUUGUUUUCUGCAAAUUAAUAGUUAACAUGUCAUGUGGGUCUCUUUUCAUUUUCCAAAUUGACUUCGUGUCUAUGAGAUACUGAAGUUUUCUACUAAAAUAGUGAUAUCUAAGGGUCACAUAAUCUGCAUAAUUGCCAGAAUUAAGUAUAACAAUUUAAAAAACAAAAUGGAUAAAGGAUACUAUUGUUGAGGGUUUUUAUUUUUAUUCAUAAGCUAACAUUUAUAAAAGUUGUACUUGUAAACUUUUCAUUUUCUUUGUCAGAGUUUUUGAAAUUUUGGAUUUUGGUUCAGACCUGUGAUUUCAUUGGUAUAGAGAGUUCCCAGUCUCUCUACCAAUGCAGAUCAACAACUGUUCUCCAAUUUAUAGCCUUUUGGGCCUUGAAAUGUUAAGUGGGACUGCUUUUGGUCACCUGUCAGAAUGUGUGAGAAGUGAGAUUUGAACCCAGGGUCUUCCUAGCACUCAGGCCAUCUUUAUGUACUAUAUUAUAUCUCUCUUGGCAAAAAUCUAUGAGAGUUAAUUACAGAAUUAAACUGUUUUAAAGCAAGUUAAAAUUGUUUAAUGUAUUAAAAAUAGUAGUUAUUUUUAAAAUUUCUGAAAGUAUACCUGUGAAGAACAGUUUUCAUUCUAAACCUGAAUUUAACUUUCUUUGGUACAACUUUUACCUUGCAUGUUCAUUUUAGUAUUUCGGUAUUGGCGAUUUGACAUAUUUGGUGGAGGCAGAAGUUUAGCUCCAUUUUGGGACUUUUUAUAGAACUACUAUGGUAGUUCAUUAGCAUAGGAAAAUGUUCUUGUGGUUGAUAAUUGUCAGGG